AUAUUUUUUAUUUAAAACUAAAAUUUGUUAAUAAUGCUUAGUAAUGCAUAUAUUUUGUAUUUUUAGCUUUCCAGAAGAUCCUGCGAAGAAGGCAUGAAGUAUAGAUCUGAGUUGUUAAUAGAGGAGUAUGUUCAAAACAUUUUUUAGAAAAAGAUAUUGACAGAAUUUCACUUUCAUCUGUUCGUUUGAGAGACUGUGCUGUUCCAAUAGCUUAUGUCACACAGAAUCAGCCGCGAGAAGUGGUCUACAAAAAACCAGGAAGGAAAUGGAAUAUGUGGCUACGAAAAGCAAAAGAAAGGUUUACAAAGCAAAUGUGACACAUUUUUUUAUAAUAUUUAGGAAUGUCAGUAAAUUACAUUAAAAAAAUGUAUGAAAAGAUUUUUUGCAAUAAAAAUGUUUAUAUUUA